UCUCUUAAUUAAUUUAUCGAAGUUACUAUUUAGGUGAAAAAGCCUAAAAGAAGAAAAAGGACGAGAAGACCCUUAGAGUUUUUCUAAAUCUAGGAUUGUUCCUAAGACAGUUUAGUUGGGGCAACAUAGGAGCAUAUUAAACCUCCUGUAAUAUACUUACCGAUAAUAAUAAAUAUGAAUAAACUACCUUAGGGAUAACAGCAUAAUUUUAUAAAUAAGUUUGUGACCUCGAUGUUGGACUAGGAAACUGAAAGGCUAGCCGCCUUUUAGGAAAGUUCUGUUCGAACUAUUAU
rnacentral:rRNA from 1 species